rnacentral:rRNA from 1 species
GACGUAGGGUCCGAGCGUUGUCCGGAAUACUGGGCGUAAAGCGCGCGCAGGCGGUUGGUCGCAUCGGCGGUGAAAGCCCCCCCGCUCAACGGGGGAGGGUCCGUCGAGAUGGGCCGACUGGAGGCAGGGAGAGGUCAGUGGAAUUCCGGGUGUAGUGGUGAAAUGCGUAGAGAUCCGGAGGAACACCAGUGGCGAAGGCGGCUGACUGGACCUGACCUGACGCUGGAGGCGCGAAAGGCGUGGGGGAGCGAACGGG